rnacentral:rRNA from 1 species
UUUCGCAAUGCCCGAAAGGGUGACGAAGCGACGCCGCGUGGGUGAAGAAGGCCCUCGGGUUGUAAAGCCCUGUCAGGAGUUAAGAAAUGUAAGUGUGCUAAUACCACAUUUAUUUGACGAAGGCUCCAAAGGAAGCCACGGCUAACUCUGUGCCAGCAGCCGCGGUAAUACAGAGGUGGCAAGCGUUGUUCGGAAUUAUUGGGCGUAAAGAGCACGUAGGUGGGUUUGUAAGUCAGGUGUGAAAGCCUUCUGUUCAAAGGAAGAAUGGCAUCUGAAACUGCAGAUCUUGAGUGUAGGAGGGGAGAGUGGAACUUCUGGUGGAGCGGUGAAAUGCGUAGAUAUCAGAAGGAACGUCGGCGGCGAAAGCGACUCUCUGGCCUAUUACUGACACUGAGGUGCGAAAGUUAGGGGAGCAAACGGGAUUAGAUACCCCGGUAGUCCUAACCGUAAACGAUGGGCACUAAGUAGAGGGGUUUUA